rnacentral:piRNA from 1 species
UCUAAUUUUGGUUGCCAUGUGUACCUUG